rnacentral:rRNA from 1 species
UAAGUACCCCGAGGAAAAGAAAUCAACCGAGAUUCCCCCAGUAGCGGCGAGCGAACGGGGAGCAGCCCAGAGUCUGAAUCAGCUUGUGUGUUAGUGGAACGGUCUGGAAAGUCCGACGGUACAGGGUGAUAGUCCCGUACACCAAAAUGCACAGGCUGUGAACUCGAAGAGUAGGGCGGGACACGUGGUAUCCUGUCUGAAUAUGGGGGGACCAUCCUCCAAGGCUAAAUACUCCUGACUGACCGAUAGUGAACCAGUACCGUGAGGGAAAGGCGAAAAGAACCCCGGCGAGGGGAGUGAAAAAGAACCUGAAACCGUGUACGUACAAGCAGUGGGAGCACCUUCGGGUGUGACUGCGUACCUUUUGUAUAAUGGGUCAGCGACUUAUAUUCUGUAGCAAGGUUAACCGUAUAGGGGAGCCGCAGGGAAACCGAGUCUUAACUGGGCGUUAAGUUGCAGGGUAUAGACCCGAAACCCGGUGAUCUAGCCAUGGGCAGGUUGAAGGUUGGGUAACACUAACUGGAGGACCGAACCGACUAAUGUUGAAAAAUUAGCGGAUGACUUGUGGCUGGGGGUGAAAGGCCAAUCAAACCGGGAGAUAGCUGGUUCUCCCCGAAAGCU